rnacentral:rRNA from 1 species
AGAACGAACGCUGGCGGCAUGCCUAAUACAUGCAAGUCGAACGAACACUUCGGUGUUAGUGGCGCACGGGUGCGUAACGCGUGGGAAUCUGCCCUUGGGUUCGGAAUAACAGUUGGAAACGACUGCUAAUACCGGAUGGAUAUCGAAAGAUCAAAGAUUUAUCGCCCAGGGAUGAGCCCGCGUAGGAUUAGCUAGUUGGUGAGGUAAAGGCUCACCAAGGCGACGAUCCUUAGCUGGUCUGAGAGGAUGAUCAGCCCACACGUGGGACUGACGACACGGCCCAGA